GACGAGGGGUCCUAGCGUUGUUCGGAAUCACUGGGCGUAAAGCGCAUGUAGGCGGCUUGAUAAGUCAGGUGUGAAAGCCCUGGGCUCAACCCAGGAAGUGCACUCGAAACUGCUUCGCUUGAGUGUCGGAGAGGAGAGCGGAAUUCCCGGUGUAGAGGUGAAAUUCGUAGAUAUCGAGAGGAACACCGGUGGCGAAGGCGGCUUUCUGGACGAUAACUGACGCUGAGACGCGAAAGCGUGGGGAGCAAACAGG
rnacentral:rRNA from 1 species